GAUGAACGCUGGCGGCGUGCCUAAUACAUGCAAGUCGAGCGAACAGAUGAGGAGCUUGCUCCUCUGACGUUAGCGGCGGACGGGUGAGUAACACGUGGAUAACCUACCUAUAAGACUGGGAUAACUUCGGGAAACCGGAGCUAAUACCGGAUAAUAUAUUGAACCGCAUGGUUCAAUAGUGAAAGACGGUUUUGCUGUCACUUGUAGAUGGAUCCGCGCCGCAUUAGCUAGUUGGUAAGGUAAAGGCUUACCAAGGCAACGAUGCGUAGCCGACCUGAGAGGGUGAUCGGCCACCCUGGAACUGAGACACGGUCCAGACUCCUACGGGAGGCAGCAGUAGGGAAUCUGCCGCAAUGGGCAAAAGCCUGACGGAGCACCGCCGCGUGAGUGAUGAAGGUCUUCGGAUCGUAAAACUCUGUUAUUAGGGAAGAACAAAUGUGUAAGUAACUAUGCACGUCUUGACGGUACCUAAUCAGAAAGCCACGGCUAACUACGUG
rnacentral:rRNA from 1 species